UCCUCGGUAGUAUAGUGGUGAGUAUCCCCGGCUGUUACGUUGGAGAUCGGGGUUCGAUUCCCCGACCGGGAA
rnacentral:tRNA from 1 species